GUAGGGAAUAUUGGACAAUGGGCGAAAGCCUGAUCCAGCCAUGCCGCGUGAUAGAUGAAGGCCCUCUGGGUUGUAAAUAUCUUUUAUCUGGGAAGAAACUCCUCUAUUCUUAGAGGCCUGAUGGUACCAGAGGAAUAAGCACCGGCUAACUCCGUGCCAGCAGCCGCGGUAAUACGGAGGGUGCAAGCGUUAUCCGGAUUCACUGGGUUUAAAGGGUGCGUAGGCGGGUUGAUAAGUCAGUGGUGAAAGCUCCGGGCUUAACUUGGAAACUGCCAUUGAUACUGUCAGUCUUGAAUGUCGUAGAGGUAAGCGGAAUGUUGCAUGUAGCGGUGAAAUGCUUAGAUAUGUUACAGAACACCAAUUGCGAAGGCAGCUUACUAUGCGAUAAUUGACGCUGAGGCACGAAAGCGUGGGGAGCAAACAGGAUUAGAAACCCUUGUAGUCC
rnacentral:rRNA from 1 species